rnacentral:snRNA from 1 species
UCAGCUCUCUAUUGCCUUUUGGCUUAGAUCAAGUGAAGUGGCUGUUCUAUUUAGUUUAAUCUCUAAAUCGCCCCCUACGGGAGGCAAGCUGAUUAAUCUUGUUUUUGGAAACCGCCUCGAGGGCUCUUGAGCUCCGCUUGUUCUCUCGAGGCACAGUGUCGCUCUUAUUGCACUGUCUGGAGCUGAUGCGACCCUUC